CGCGUGCUACUAAGGGGUUACGCGUUUCAGCAGUAGAUGCGGUUUCGUUGUUAUGUAUAUACAUUUUUACAUAUUUAAAAUCCAUCUGCUCGUCAGCAUCCAAUCAUCAUGUUUAAUUUCGUUGAAUUGUUUAGUAAUUUCCAUAUUUACGGGCUCAAGUCAGUAGCGAGUGUUACUAAGUAGAAGGCCCUCUAAACGAUGCUCAUAUAAAAAGUAGCUCAAGGACAAGUUAAAUAAAAACCUGACGCUGCUUCUGAAGUCGGUUAAAAACCAGGCUGAAAUUCAAGAAAGUGUUAAGUUUAAAUAAAAUGCUUUUAAAAGUGCCCUACGAAAAAUCGAUCAGGCAAGGAUGAUGGUAGAAUGGUGUUGACAAGUGAAAUAAAUGAAGAAUCGCUAUUUAUGCUGCAGCUCCAGAGGGUGUAGCCAGGAGAAGAACGUCUGUCAACCUGUGAGCAAUACGUCGUGUCAAGGUUUCACAACUGCUGUGUAGAUGUGGCCCAGCAGUUAUCCCUCCGCUCCCCCACAUGAAUGGUGCACACUGUGGUGCGUUCACAGGCUGUGUACUUCUGACACCAAGAGAUUGAGGUUACCUGUGGUAUAAACAGGAUAAUGAACCUCUUAGUAAUUUCAUGGAAGCAAAAAAAAAAAAAUUUCUCUGUUUUAUGCUUUUUUGGUGCAUGAGUUUAAGUACUUUGUGGAUAUUUUGUAAAAAAAAUUGAGCAAUUACUCCUUUUAAGGAAAGGUAUGACAUUUGUGAUCAGGACAGGAAAGACUCUGAGGGUGUUGCCUUAAAUAUAAGACAUGAGUCUGUAAUAUCUUUAUGGAAAUGUGUUAUGAUAUUGGUCACAAUAUGUCAUGUGCAAAAAUUUCUUUUUUGGCUUUAAAGAAUAUUGAGUCUGGAUGAUUUAAGAGGCUGGGUGGGUAGGUGAGAGAAAUUCUGAGCCCGAUUUCUCUGUCUGACCUGUACUCUACUGCUGAGUGAUGAGCAAAUUGAAUUUACAGUUGUCAGCACGACACAGUCCAUCUGCGUUUUAGGUUUCAUUGGAUCUAUGGUCAUGGUUCAUUCAUUUCACCACUUGCCAGACUGCUGUAAUUUUAACAUGGCUGCUGGUGAAAAUGACAAAGUUGUAGGUGGAAAGGGGGAAAAAAAAUCUCAUUUGGUUUGCCGUAGUUGUUUAUUCUGUUAUUUUUGUGCAGGGCUCGUAGACGGACUGUGUCCAUGCAGACUCACCCAUGGCAUCCUCACAUCUCAUUUUAUUGACCCUAAUGUUUUCUCCUGUGUCAUUUUACAUCGCAGUUCAUUUUCAGCUUUGUUUACGUGUUCUGUGCACUCUGGAGGUGUAGAUGAGGAAAGAUUUGUUGGCCUAUGCUAUAAAUUUUCUGUGACUUGGUGGGGUUCUUGCUGUUCUGUAAUGUAACUGUCCGGCUGUCCUCACAUAGAAUUCAUUGUUGGUGUUUGCCUUCCACUACUUAUAUUAACGUAAUAAAGAAAAAAAAAUA